rnacentral:lncRNA from 1 species
AGUGUAGAACUGAUUUGAGAUGUAAUUACACUGUGUAAUGUUCAUAAAGUUGGUUCUGCUCUCCUAAACUCCCUUUAGAGUCUGGUAAACUCCAAGCACCGCCUCUAAAUGUCGGGGUUAAAAUUGUAGUGAGGCUCCGGGCAAUGGUCUGAAACUGACUCAAUAAGCAGGCUUAGUCCUCCGAAGCUCAGCAGUUGGCGUCAGAACUCCAGUGGCUACAGAGAAGCGACAGUUGGCAGAGCCAACAACAGCACAUGGGAGACACCAGGGUCCCUUGGCAAAGGAGGAUCAAGGAAGCAGUGGAGAGGCUCAUGCAGUCUCCGGCAGCAACAGAGAAUUCUACCAUAACCCCAGGCACAGGCUGAGUGAUGGAUGCGAUGGAUGCUGAAUGAUAUGUGACUGAGUGAACCGCAGUGCACUCUGGGAAACCCGGAAGGAGAUGGCUAUCAUGAAAAAUGAUGUUUUUGCCUAUAAUUCAAUAUCCAGGUAAUUUGUCACAGCAAGAGGAGGAAAUGGAACGAAUGCACACAGCAGCUAGUAAACAUGAGCAAGAGACAGGAAUGUAAUGGCCAUCUUACUCUCUGGGUCCUCGGGUGUAAGAGGGACCAAACUCAUAAGUCAACUCUCUAACUCAUCAGACAGGAAAAUAAGCAAGAAGAUUCUGAAGUCUUUUCUACAUUCGUUUGUGGAGAAAGAGUGGUGUAGCCCAGGGCUGUGUCUGCUUCAAAAUGCAGGGAGAGUCAGCCUACAGUCCAUAAUUAGCACCAUGUCAUUCCAGUGAGAGCCACAGUCCUGUGCCACCCCGUGGGACCCAAGUCCUGAUCAUGAAAAUCCAUGCCUGCACAUCCUCUCUGAAGGACCCGAAAAAGUCCCUUGGAAAGGGCCAUUCAUCCCUCAUAGUGUCUCUCUAGCAUCUGCCUGGUCCACUGUGCCAUAAAAUGAAAUCUCUCUUAAUGAGAAACUGCACCUACCUUUUGGCCUCCGGUUUCUGAAUUUCACAGCUUAUUAUGAACGUUUCCAUUUAUUCAGAGGGUGCCUUUCUGACGUGUUAACUCCAUCUUUCAAUCAGUCCUAUUAUAUUCCUUUUUCCCUUUUUAAAGACGA